AUUGAACGCUGGCGGCAUGCUUUACACAUGCUAGUCGAACGGUAACAGGCCUUCGGGUGCUGACGAGUGGCGAACGGGUGAGUAAUGCAUCGGAACGUGCCCAGAGGUGGGGGAUAACGCAGCGAAAGCUGUGCUAAUACCGCAUGUGAUCUGAGGAUGAAAGCGGGGGACCAGGCAGCAAUGUUUGGCCUCGCGCCUUUGGAGCGGCCGAUGUCAGAUUAGGUAGUUGGUGGGGUAAAGGCCUACCAAGCCGACGAUCUGUAGCUGGUCUGAGAGGACGACCAGCCACACUGGGACUGAGACACGGCCCAGACUCCUACGGGAGGCAGCAGUGUGGAAUGUUGGACAAUGGGCGCAAGCCUGAUCCAGCAAUGCCGCGUGCGGGAAGAAGGCCUUCGGGGUGUAAACCGCUUUUGUACGGAACGAAAAGGCUCUGGCUAAUACCUGGGGCUGAUGACGGUACCGUAAGAAUAAGCACCGGCUAACUACGUG
rnacentral:rRNA from 1 species